AUUGCACGCUGGCGGAAUGCUUUACACAUGCAAGUCGAGCGGCAGCGCGGCCUUCGGGCUGGCGGCGAGCGGCGAACGGGUGAGUAAUGCAUCGGAACAUGCCCAGUCGUGGGGGAUAACACUUCGAAAGAAGUGCUAAUACCGCAUACGUCCUGAGGGGGAAAGCGGGGGAUCGCAAGACCUCGCGCGAUUGGAGUGGCCGAUGUCAGAUUAGCUAGUUGGUGGGGUAAAGGCCUACCAAGGCGACGAUCUGUAGCUGGUCUGAGAGGAUGAUCAGCCACACUGGGACUGAGACACGGCCCAGACUCCUACGGGAGGCAGCAGUGGGGAAUUUUGGACAAUGGGGGCAACCCUGAUCCAGCCAUUCCGCGUGAGUGAAGAAGGCCUUCGGGUUGUAAAGCUCUUUCGGCAGGAACGAAACGGUGGGCUCUAACAUAGUCCGCUAAUGACGGUACCUGAAGAAGAAGCACCGGCUAACUACGU
rnacentral:rRNA from 1 species